UAAAGAGAGAGGUGAAUAAACUUUAAUUGCUUUAGAGAGAGAGAGAGAGAGAGAGAGAGAGACCCAUUCAUGUCCUUCAUCAGAUUGAAGCCAGAGAGAUUUCCGACUUUCCUCAAUGCUUCCCUCCAUUUCCUCACCUCCUCUUGGUCCUGCUUGAUGGAUUGAUGAUCCUUAAACGCAGAUUUGAAGGGGCCGCUCUGGUUGCGGACAUGACAAGGUUCCACGCCAAAGAACACCGGAAUUAUCUCCUUCCCGCACUCCACACUUUUGGUCACCUCUUUCAAGCACCAUUUCGAUUCUGCAAAGCGUUGGGAGAAGAUGGGGACAAAGAUCUUGGACCUAUUUAUGUAUUCCAACAGUUUGUUGAUCUUGUCUCCCUUUUCCAACUUCUCGCAGUCUAUAAAGGUGGAAAUACCGCGCUCCUCAAGCCCAUCAUGAAGAUGCCCAGUGAAACCCUUUCGGGUGUCUUCGCCUCUGAAGCUGAGAAACACUUCAAACUCGGAUCCACCAGCUCUUGGUGAAGACGGUGAAGGUGCUGAUGUCUCCAGUACCUCUUCCCCUGAAUCUGUGUCUCCUCUAAUUCCAACAUCAACAUUUUGGUUGCCAGAAAGUCUCCUUAAAAGUUCCCCUAGGACAUCUCCCUUCAAGAAAUCGUUGAUUCGCUGGUGGAAGACAAGACCAAAGAGAACGAAUACUAUGAACAAAGCUGCAGAUAUCACCAUUUUCAUCUGGAACUUUGAAGAGGUAAGGUAGGAAAAAUAUGCAACUUUCUUGGUGACACCACGUACAUAACCAAGAUCGAAAGAAGGCAGAAGGGAAGAGAUACGGAAGGCUGGGCUUGAGCACAACUCUUGGGUGAAACCAUGAAUUCUUGCUCAACACAAGCGGCCAAUCAUAGGAAAUUGCCUCAAAAGCAUGCGGAGGACAUCUUCCUGCAAGAAAUCCUUGAUUCGUGGAAGGAAGACAUGACCAAAGAGGAUGAAUAAAGCUGCAAAACCACCAUUUUGGUUGACAGGAAAUCACUUGAACUUAGAUGUUCAUUUAAUAAUACACAAACCUAGGUAUAUUUUUCCCACAAUCUUUAAAUUAUAACUGCAUUUAUAUCAAAUUUUCAAUUUGCUAGCUUUUGUUGUAUUAGUAGCCGAAUCUGUUAGGUGAUUUUUUCUCAUCAAUGUUUAAAUUUUGAUGUAUUUUAUGGAGGGUAUGCUGGGCAUCAAAUAUAUGAAGAUUUUUUAUUUGGACUCGUUCGGUUUUGGUCAAGAAAACUCUUCAAAGGAGAGUGCUGCAAAUGUUUUGCGGGUCCGCGUGAAGUUGCGGGGAUCCAUGAGCAUAUUCUUUAUCAAGGAAAACAAUGCACUGCCAUUGUAGUCUGGAGAUCUUUACGUGCUUUCUCUGCCUUCAAACCUGUGUAAAAUUCAGAGCAGCAGCACCAUGGAUCGAUCGGCAGUCCUCUGCAGCAAUGCAGUAGUAGGGAAGCAAACAUCACAAGACACUGUUCUCUUGAUAAACAAAACAGUGGAGGAUAGGAGCAGCGCAACACAAUCAACAAGAACAGAGGCAAAAGGGUAGAGCUCCUCAGUUGAGCCUACAGGCCUACAAAAAAAUACCUACUUUCACAUUAAUAUUUAAGAAAAAAUUUCCUCA